CAGAAAACAAAUUCAGCCACAGAACACAAUUCACAGUUCACAGAUCUCAGAGCACAAAUCAGAAAUCUAUCAGUUCAAAAUAAAACUCAAACAAAAUUAAACGAAACGAAUUCAAUUCAAACAGAACCAGAACAAAAAAAAAGCAGACAUACUCGUACUCAUAAAGAUCGAAAUUAUUAUUUUGCCAUCGCUUAAUUUCAUUCUCUACUUUGUUUCUUUUCUUGUAAUGUCUUCUUUUAAGAUUUUCUGAUGUUCCCAGGAUGCUCGAUAUCCGGCCCAGAGGGUUGCAAUCUCUUCAUCUACCAUUUGCCCCAAGAGUUUGGCGAUGCGGAAUUAAUGCAAAUGUUCCUACCCUUUGGCAAUGUGAUCAGCUCUAAGGUCUUCAUCGAUCGUGCUACAAACCAGAGCAAAUGCUUCGGUAGAGUCUCCACACCCCCUACCUAUUAUAUUCAGCUGUUCCUAAUCAAAUGGCUCUCUCUCUCUCUCUCUUUAUGUAGGUUUUGUGUCCUUCGAUAACCCCGCAAGCGCUCAAGCGGCCAUUCAGGCCAUGAAUGGCUUCCAGAUUGGCAUGAAAAGACUGAAAGUUCAAUUGAAGCGGCCAAAGGAUGCCAGUCGACCCUAUUAACAAUCGGAGUUCCUUAAGUGUAAUUCACAACAACUACAUCUACUACCUGGAUCAUCAACAACAGGAGUAGUCGGAGGAGCAGCCAUUCCACAAACUAGAACUCAAUUUGCAACUGCAGCAGCAGCAACAACAUCCACAGCAACAGCAUCAGCCACAGCAACAACCACAGUACACCGCUAUAGUCGCAGAAGCAGCUUUAGGCCACCAUUUCCCACUGAAAACUCUCCUAAUAUGCAGUAUCAGUUCGCCAGCUGGCGAAAUGGUACCUACUGCUACCGCUAUAGCACCCCCAGCAACAUCUCCCCCAGCAACAUCAGCAAUUCCAGAAACUGCAGCAAGGACAACAGCAACAGCACCACCAACAACAAUAGCAGCAACUGCAGCAGCAGAAUGGACGAUUCCCAUCCACAGCCAACUCAACCGGACACGGCAUCCAAUAGCAACCAGAAGAACCUAUCCAAAGUGGAACUAGUCGAAAAACUGUUCAUGUGGCAGCAACAAAAACGAAAGACCUAAAACCAGUAGGACCCACACCACCACCACAUCAGCAACCAUGACAACGGCGACAACAAUAAGGAGCAACUACUGAAAGGGUGAGCCAUUGAAUUCGGAUGUUUGGGAACCCCAGUCCCGCAAACACUUUAGAAGAAUACGAACAAGAUCUCUUUCCAAAUGAAAGAUUUCCCAGAACUGUUUCGGCGAUCGUCUUGGAAGGAGAUCUUACGGAUAGAACUUGGAUCAGCUUACUGAUGCUAUACCAUUACCUCUUUUCAGAUGGUCUUCACCAUGCUAAGUGAAAAUGAUUAUAAAAAUAAAAAUGAACACAUGUUCAUGUGAAAAAAAACCUAAAAAAUAGUAAACAAAAAAAUGUAUAAUAAAAAAAGAAAAUACUUUAGAGCUGAAAUUUAAAUAGAUUUAUAUAUAUAUAUACAAAACAGCAGAACAUACAUGCAACUAUAUAUAUAUUUAUUCGAUUAUACAUGCAGAUGAAUGCAGUAUUUAAAAAAUUAAAGAGAAACCCAACAGAAACA
rnacentral:lncRNA from 1 species